rnacentral:rRNA from 1 species
GUCGAGAAUCUUUCACAAUGGGGGCAACCCUGAUGGAGCGACGCCGCGUGGAGGAUAAGGUCUUCGGAUUGUAAACUCCUGUCAUGCGUGAACAAGGUUGCUUGGUUAAUACCUGGGCAAAUUGAUGGUAACGCAAGAGGAAGAGACGGCUAACUCUGUGCCAGCAGCCGCGGUAAUACAGAGGUCUCAAGCGUUGUUCGGAAUCACUGGGCGUAAAGGGUGCGUAGGUGGCGGUGUAAGUCAGAUGUGAAAUCCCGGGGCUCAACCUCGGAACUGCAUCCGAUACUGCCAUGCUAGAGUACUGGAGAGGUGACUAGAAUUCUCGGUGUAGCAGUGAAAUGCGUAGAUAUCGAGAGGAAUACCAAAGGCGUAGGCAGGUCACUGGACAGUUACUGACACUGAGGCACGAAGGCCAGGGGAGCGAACGGGAUUAGAAACCCGUGUAGUCC